GACGAACGCUGGCGGCGUGCUUAACACAUGCAAGUCGAACGGAAAGGCCCUGCUCUUGCGGGGUGCUCGAGUGGCGAACGGGUGAGUAACACGCGAGUAACCUGCCCUUGACUUUGGGAUAACUUCAGGAAACUGGGGCUAAUAUCGGAUAGGAGCUCCUGCUGCAUGGUGGGGGUUGGAAAGUUUCGGCGGUUGGGGAUGGUCUCGCGGCUUAUCCGCUUGUUGGUGUGGUAGUGGCUUACCAAGGCUUUGACGGGUAGCCGGCCUGAGAGGGUGAACGGCCACAUUGGGACUGAGGUACGGCCCAGAAGCCUACGGGAGGCAGCAGUGGGGAAUAUUGCACAAUGGGCGGAAGCCUGAUGCAGCAGCGCCGCGUGCGGGAUGACGGCCUUCGGGUUGUAAACCGCUUUCGCCUGUGACGAAGCGUGAGUGACGGUAAUGGGUAAAGAAGCACCGGCUAACUACGUG
rnacentral:rRNA from 1 species